rnacentral:lncRNA from 1 species
UAGCUGCUCACAUGAGCAAUAGCAGGUUCUUUGCAUGGAUUUCACUGCCUGUCUGGUAACACUUGAUGCAGCUGGUCUCUAAGUGCUGGCUCCCUGAUGACACACUUGAAAUGGGCCUUGGUGCCAACAGGGCAUUCUUUCUGUAAGCCUCUACCUUCAGAAAUACAGUGGGGUUGGUCGGUGCUCUUUCUCCUUAUAACCAUGAGUGGUUACUGUCUGUGUUGACUGCUGGGCUGACCACUGAACUUCUUCUGAGAUUACCCCUGCAGCCUCCCCAAGGCUCUGAAAAAACCUCAGACUCCCUGCUAUGUAGCCUCAGCUCAGAGAGAAAAUGAAGAGAUUAGGUUCUAAUGUAGCCACUUGUAUGAUGAGAUGUCACCAAGAUGUCCACAGGCUCCCACAGAGGAGAGGACAUAGAAAAAGACUGAUUUGGAAGAUGAAUCUACGAGAAGUUGCCACUUACAUAAUAAAAAGCAAAAGAGAUGUUCAAGUUCAGAUUUGACUAAUAU